UACGUAGGGCGCAAGCGUUGUCCGGAAUUAUUGGGCGUAAAGAGCGUGUAGGCGGCCAGGUAGGUCAGCUGUGAAAACUCGAGGCUCAACCUCGAGACGUCGGUUGAAACCACCUGGCUAGAGUCCGGAAGAGGAGAGUGGAAUUCCUGGUGUAGCGGUGAAAUGCGCAGAUAUCAGGAAGAACACCCGUGGCGAAGGCGGCUCUCUGGGACGGUACUGACGCUGAGACGCGAAAGCGUGGGGAGCGAACAGG
rnacentral:rRNA from 1 species